CGGGUUAUCUGAACCUUCGGGGGACGAUAACGGCGUCGAGCGGCGGACGGGUGAGUAAUGCCUAGGAAAUUGCCCUGAUGUGGGGGAUAACCAUUGGAAACGAUGGCUAAUACCGCAUAACACCUUCGGGUCAAAGAGGGGGACCUUCGGGCCUCUCGCGUCAGGAUAUGCCUAGGUGGGAUUAGCUAGUUGGUGAGGUAAUGGCUCACCAAGGCGACGAUCCCUAGCUGGUCUGAGAGGAUGAUCAGCCACACUGGAACUGAGACACGGUCCAGACUCCUACGGAGGCAGCAGUGGGGAAUAUUGCACAAUGGGCGCAGCCUGAUGCAGCCUGCCGCGUGUGUGAAGAAGCUUCGGGUGUAAAGCACUUUCAGUCGUGAGGAA
rnacentral:rRNA from 1 species